GCCAGGCGCGGUGGCACGUGCCUGUAGUCCCAGCUACUUGGGAGGCUGAAGUGGGAGGAUCGCUCGAGCCCAGGAGUUCUGGGCUGCAGUGCACUAUGCCGAUCGGGUGUCCGCACUAAGUUCCGCAUCAAUAUGGUGACCUCCCGGGAGCGGGGGACCACCAGAUUGCCUAAGGAGGGGUGAACAGACCCAGGUCGGAAGUGGAGCAGGCCAAAACUCCCAUGCUGAUCAGUAGUGGGAUCGCGCCUGUGAAUAGCCACUGCACUCCAGCCUGGGCAACAUAGCAAGACCCCAUCUCUU
rnacentral:SRP_RNA from 1 species